GUGGUACAUGCCAAAACAUCUACAUAUGCUGCACCAGGUGAUGCGACCCCUGUUUUAGGUGAUGUGACUUACUAUGGCAGGAUAAUUGAUAUUAUUCAGUUGAACUACUCUGGACAAUUUUUGGUGGAUUUAUUUAAGUGUGAAUGGGUUGAUAUUUCUGAGAAAGGAAUUAAGAAGGACAGGUAUGGCUACACACUUGUUAACUUCUCACAUUUGAUGCACAAAGGAGACAAGAUUGAGCAUGGGCCUUUUAUUUUGCCUAACCAAGCCGAUCAAGUGUUUUACCUAGAAGACGAACUGAACCCAGGUUGGUCAGUGGUGAUG
rnacentral:rRNA from 1 species